UGCGAGUCGUGAGGGGUUAUGCCCUCGGCAGACUGCUCAGUAACACGUGGCUAACCUGCCCUUGGGACGAGAACAACCCCGGGAAACUGGGGCUAACUCUCGAUAGGCGAAGAACUCUGGAAUGAGUCUUCACCCAAACAGUUUAGGGUUAUGCUCCUUAAACCGCCCAAGGAUGGGGCCGCGACCGAUCAGGUUGUUGGUGAGGUAAUGGCUCACCAAGCCUUUUACCGGUGCGGGCCGUGGGAGCGGGAGCCCGGAGAUGGGCACUGAGACAAGGGCCCAGGCCCUACGGGGCGCAGCAGUCGCGAAAACUUUGCAAUAAGCGAAAGCUUGACAGGGCUAUCCCGAGUGCCAUCCGCUGAGGAAGGCUUUUACCCAGUCUAGAACGCUGGGGGAAUAAGGAGAGGGCAAGUCUGGUGUCAGCCGCCGCGGUAAUACCAGCUCUCCGAGUGGUGUGGAUGUUUAUUGGGCCUAAAGCAUCCGUAGCUGGCUAGGUUAGUCCCCUGUUAAAUCCACCGAAUUAAUCGUUGGAUUGCGGGGGAUACUGCUUGGCUAGGGGACGAGAGAGGCAGACGGUAUUUCCGGGGUAGGGGUGAAAUCCUAUAAUCCCGGGAAGACCACCAGUGGCGAAGGCUGUCUGCUAGAACGCGCCCGACGGUGAGGGAUGAAAGCUGGGGGAGCGAACCGGAUUAGAUACCCGGGUAGUCCCAGCUGUAAACGAUGCAGACUAGGUGUUUGGACGGCCACGUGCCGUUCUAGUGCCGCAGGGAAGCUGUUAAGUCUGCCGCCUGGGGAGUACGAUCGCAAGAUUGAAACUUAAAGGAAUUGGCGGGGGAGCACCACAAGGGGUGAAGCUUGCGGUUUAAUUGGAUUCAACGCCGGG
rnacentral:rRNA from 1 species